UACGUAGGGUGCGAGCGUUGUCCGGAAUUAUUGGGCGUAAAGGGCGCGUAGGCGGCCUUCUAAGUCAGACGUGAAAUCCCCCGGCUUAACCUGGGAACUGCGUCUGAUACUGGGAGGCUUGAGUAUGGGAGAGGGAUGUAGAAUUCCAGGUGUAGCGGUGAAAUGCGUAGAUAUCUGGAGGAAUACCGGUGGCGAAGGCGGCAUCCUGGACCAUAACUGACGCUGAGGCGCGAAAGCUAGGGGAGCAAACGGG
rnacentral:rRNA from 1 species